rnacentral:rRNA from 1 species
UACGUAGGGUGCAAGCGUUGUCCGGAAUUAUUGGCGUAAAGAGCUCGUAGGCGGUUUGUCGCGUCUGCUGUGAAAACCCGAGGCUCAACCUCGGGCCUGCAGUGGGUACGGGCAGACUAGAGUGGCGGUAGGGGAGAUUGGAAUUCCUGGUGUAGCGGUGGAAUGCGCAGAUAUCAGGAGGAACACCGGUGGCGAAGGCGGGUCUCUGGGCCGUUACUGACGCUGAGGAGCGAAAGCGUGGGGAGCGAACAGG